AGGUCCCGCCUGCCCAGUGAAACAUUAAACGGCCGCGGUAUUCUAACCGUGCAAAGGUAGCGUAAUCACUUGUCUUCUAAAUAAAGACUAGUAUGAACGGCUAAAUGAGGACAAACCUGUCUCAUGCGACCAAUCAGUGAAACUGAUCUUCCAGUACAAAAGCUGGAAUUAACCCAUAAGACGAGAAGACCCUGUGGAGCUUUAAACCACCCACUAAUGAACUAUAAACUUUUUAAUCCUAGUGGAAGGUUUUGAGUUGGGGCGACUUCGGAAUCAACACACCUUCCGAGCACAAAGGCAAAACCUUUUUCCAAGGCCUACAAGCCAAAGCAUACAAACGACCCAGUCAUACUGAUCAACGAACCAAGUUACCCCAGGGAUAACAGCGCCAUCUUCUUCAAGAGUUCUUAUCGACAAGAAGGUUUACGACCUCGAUGUUGGAUCAGGACACCCAAAUGGUGCAGCCGCUAUUAAAGGUUCGUUUGUUCAACGAUUAACAGUCCUACGUGAUCUGAGU
rnacentral:rRNA from 1 species